CGUUAUCUGACAUUUUAUAUGGUAUUAAAGCACUGCUGAACUUAUUAUCUGUGCAGGUAUCUGUACUAUAGAUGCAGCUUACAAACCAAGCUUGCCAGCAUUAACUGAUAGCACUCUUUGUUAUUGAACAAAUAGAUUCACCACAGCUCCAACACAACAUGGACAUAUAGCUCAAAGUUUAAAGUGCCAGUCCAUAAGUUGAUAAGUGAUGUUGCACUACAUCCAUCAAUUACAUAAUCUGCUUCUCUGCCAUAAACAGACGACGGGGGAAAACACCUCUAUAACGUCAGCUUUUCAAGCUGGGGAAUGAUAAUCUUCUAUUACAUGUGUAAUCUGUUAAGCUGUGAUCACAGUGCAGGAGAAUUAAGAUAACAAGAGUGUCCUUUUAGUACCAGAUGUAACAGCAAUUAUCAAAUGUCAUUAAGCAGAUUCCAGAUGAAGAUACUGAUCCUGUGAUAAUUGCAGAAAAAUGAAGUGUUAUGUUUUCCCUGGAGAAGAUUGCAUUCAUUAAUUUGCCCAUUUUUAUUCACUUGAUGCUCCUUUGCCUUUUCUCACAAUGGACUCUCACAGCUCUCGAAUACAAAGCUUGAAUGCGAAGAAACCAUUUAAGCAGCCUCUUUUGUGACAUCGAUUUUUCCCUUCCAUCUGCCAGUUUUCUCCUCUGAACUUACACUGCUUACAAAUGAUUUUUUUUCAGCUGCUCUUUUUUUUGUUGUUGUUAAAGAUUUACUAAAAUAUGAUAUUGAUUUCUUGUAUGAGAUUUGUAAAAGUACACUAAAUUAUCAAAGAAAAAAUGUGGGUACGCUGCUCUCUUUUUGUAGCAGCUCUGUUUUUGGCACUUAUUCUCUCUUUUGCUUUAAUGUUGGGGAAACGCUUCACCUAAAAGUGAGAAAUCUGGAGUGGCAUUUGUGAAGUGGUGCCAAAAAAAAAGUUUAUAUGUGCAUCAAAGCUCAAGUGAGGAAGAAGAGUGUGAAUCUGUUAAGUUAUCGUUUUGCUUUUUUAACAAAAGUAUAAAAGGUGUUUGAUAUUUUGAAAUAUGCAAAUGUAUAAAGUACCAUUGGCUUGGGAAUUUUGGGUUUGUUUGUUUGUUUUCUAUGGGGGGAAAAAUGUUCUUAUUUACUUGUUUUGUGGGCGAGUUUGGAAAGUUGACAUUUUUUUUUGAUACUGCUUUGUUAAAUGCUUGUAUUUAUCAAAACUGUUUGUUACACAUUUUGCAGUCAUAAAUAAUUUGCUAUACAAUUCUGUGUCGGGA
ensembl:lncRNA